AAGAUGAUUUGACUCAAUUAAGAAACUGAAGUCCAAAUUGACACAGACAAUUGAAACAAGGACAGCAGUGAACUUAGGAACAGAGAACAGAGUGAGCAGGAAUAAAAAGAGUCUUUUGCAGAAAGUCCGUUUGGACAGAAGCAUCUACAUAUCAGCCUGCUGGUACAUCAGGGCUGGGCAGAUCCCUGAGGAA
rnacentral:lncRNA from 1 species